UCAAGCUACAAAGAGCUCAUGGUGGAUACCUAGGCACGCAGAGGCGAAGAAGGACGUAGCUACCAACGAUAUGCUCCGGGGAGCUGGAAGCAAGCAUUGAGCCGGAGGUUUCCGAAUAGGGCAACCUAAAAACGCUUUACUGAAUCAAUAGGUAAAGACGAGCGAACCUGGCAAACUGAAACAUCUUAGUAGCCAGAGGAAAAGAAAGCAAAAGCGAUUCCCUAAGUAGCGGCGAGCGAACAGGGAGCAGCCUAAACCAUUGGCUAAGGCCGAUGGGGUAGUGGGACAGCCAAAAGAGACAGUAGCGGUUAGAUGAAGUAGCUGAAAACUACACCAAAGAAGGUGAAAGUCCUGUAGUCAAAAACUGAAACUGCAACGGUUGGAUCCCGAGUAGCACGGGGCACGUGAAAUCCCGUGUGAAUCAGCCUCGACCACGAGGUAAGGCUAAAUACUACUGCGUGACCGAUAGUGAAAUAGUACCGCGAGGGAAAGGUGAAAAGAACCCCAGACAGGGGAGUGAAAUAGAACAUGAAACCAUGAGCUUACAAGCAAUGGGAGGACGAUUCAACGUCUGACCGUGUGCCUGUUGAAGAAUGAGCCGGCGACUGACAGGCUGUGGCAGGUUAAGGCAAUAGCCGAAGCCAAAGUGAAAGCGAGUCCGAAUAGGGCGAAAGUCACAGUUUGUCGGCCCGAACCCGGGUGAUCUAACCAUGUCCAGGAUGAAGCUUGGGUAAUACCAAGUGAAGGUCCGAACCGACCAACGUUGAAAAGUUGGCGGAUGAGGUGUGGUUAGGGGUGAAAUGCCAAUCGAACCCGGAGCUAGCUGGUUCUCCCCGAAAUGUGUUUAGGCGCAGCGGUUGUGGCAAGGAUUGGGGGGUAAAGCACUGUUUCGCUGCGGGCUGCGAGAGCGGUACCAAAGUGAGGCAAACUCAGAAUACUCAAUUCUCAGCAACCAGUGAGACGGUGGGGGAUAAGCUUCAUCGUCAAGAGGGAAACAGCCCAGACCGCCAGCUAAGGCCCCAAAAUGAUAACUAAGUGAUUAAGGAGGUGGGAGUGCUCGGACAACCAGGAGGUUUGCCUAGAAGCAGCCAUCCUUGAAAGAGUGCGUAAUAGCUCACUGGUCAAGCGCUCCUGCGCCGAAAAUGAACGGGGCUAAGUUAUCUGCCGAAGCUGCGGACUUGAUUUAAGUGGUAGGGGAGCGUUCUGUGUUGGGUGAAGCACUAGCGGCAAGCAGGUGUGGACGGCACAGAAGUGAGAAUGUCGGCUUAAGUAGCGCAAACUAGGGUGAGAAUCCCUAGCCCCGAAACCCUAAGGAUUCCUUCGGAAGGCUCGUCCGCGAAGGGUAAGUCAGGACCUAAGGCGAGGUCGAAAGGCGUAGUCGAUGGACAACGGGUUAAAAUUCCCGUACCGUUUCAGAUUGAUGCCGGGGGACGGAGAAGGUCAACAUGAGCCGGAGAAUGGUAGUUCCGGUGCAAGCAACUGAGGUGAAGACAGACGGAGAAAACGUUUCGAGCUGAGGUGCGAGUCCGACUGACUACGGUGAGGAAGUCAUGAAGGUCAAGCUUCCCAGAAAAGCCCGUAGCAUCAUAAAUCUGAAAUGCCUGUACUAGAAACCGACACAGGUGGGGUGGUAGAGAAUACCGAGGGGCGCGAGAUAACUCUCUCUAAGGAACUCGGCAAAAUGACCCCGUAACUUUGGGAGAAGGGGUACCACCGCAAGGUGGUCGCAGUGAAGAGGCCCAGGCGACUGUUUACCAAAAACAUAGGUCUCCGCCAAGUCGCAAGACGCAGUAUGGGGGCUGACGCCUGCCCAGUGCCGGAAGGUUAAGGAAGUUGGUCAGGAGGUAACUCUGAAGCUGGCGACCGAAGCCCCGGUGAACGGCGGCCGUAACUAUAACGGUCCUAAGGUAGCGAAAUUCCUUGUCGGGUAAGUUCCGACCUGCACGAAUGGCGUAACGACUUCCCCACUGUCUCCAACAUCGGCUCAGCGAAAUUGAACUCCCCGUGAAGAUGCGGGGUACCCGCGGUCAGACGGAAAGACCCCGUGCACCUUUACUACAGCUUUACAGUGGCAUCAGGAUGCGGAUGUGCAGAAUAGGUGGGAGGCUUUGAAACUUGGGCGCCAGCUCAAGCGGAGCCGCCUUUGAGAUACCACCCUUGUGCCUCCUGCUGUCUAACCGAGCUCCGUUAUCCGGAGCCGGGACCCUGUAUGGCGGGUAGUUUGACUGGG
rnacentral:rRNA from 1 species